rnacentral:rRNA from 1 species
UACGUAGGGUGCGAGCGUUAAUCGGAAUUACUGGGCGUAAAGCGUGCGCAGGCGGCUUUGCAAGACAGAUGUGAAAUCCCCGGGCUCAACCUGGGAACUGCAUUUGUGACUGCAAGGCUAGAGUACGGCAGAGGGGGAUGGAAUUCCGCGUGUAGCAGUGAAAUGCGUAGAUAUGCGGAGGAACACCAAUGGCGAAGGCAAUCCCCUGGGCCUGUACUGACGCUCAUGCACGAAAGCUUGGGGAGCAAACAGG